UUUGGACCUAAUACAAACUUUAAACAACUCACAAACGCAUUAUAUCUGAUUAUCCCCGAUGAGACUUCAUUCUUAACACGCUACUUUCGUCUAUCCGAUACUUAUGCUAUUCUUAUACUCGUAAUCGUUUACUAGAUCAAUCGUUCACCCCUAUACCUCGAUUGUUCUCCGUUGUCUCAAACUCCAAGGCCUCAGUUUUAAACAAUCCUCUUCGGUUUGACAAAAACCCUUUUGAGUCUUCCUUUUGAAUAAAUUUCGGGACGAAAUUUCCUAAAGGGGGGAGACUGUAACACUCCGCGUUUUCAUAACUUUCCUAAUUUAGAAAUCGAGUCAUAAAAAUCCAUUUGUUUAGAAGCUUGCCUCUUUCAAAAUUUUAAUCCGUUGCAUCGUCGAAAAUCUUUUAUCUUUACUUUAAUUCGUUAUAAAUAUGGUUAAUUUUUCAUUGUUUAGUUAAUUAAAUUAAUUAAUUUUACAAUUUAAAAAGUUGUUUUUAUAGUAAUCUAGUUAGCCUUGUUAGAUUUUUAAAGUUAAAACUAAUCUAGUUAGUUUAAACUAUAAGGUUAGUAAAAAUAACGUAAUUUGAGUUUUAAUUAAAGUGAAGCCCAAACCCACUAAUUAAACCCUAAUUAUAAAACACUAGUAAAACCCUAACCUUUAUUUAACAUCAGCCGACACCCUCCUAUUUUCUCUCCCAAAUUCUCUGAAUUUGCAUCUUAUCCUCACAAACAACACACAGACUCAUAAUAAUCUCCACUCCUUCUCUCGAUCCAUACUUCAAAACACUUACAACCUCCUUCUCAAAUUACCUAUAAAACUCACUCAUCUCUCCCUCACACAACACAGAUCAAAGAAACCCCCAUCACUAUCCUUCAAAACCCUCGCAUCCCUCUCACUUGGAAGGCCAGCCGACCACCACACUUGGUGGCGGUGCUCGGCGGUUGAGGAAGAGAGUCGGCGAGAGAGAUGGAGAACGGGAGAUAGAUUAUCAGAGAGAGAGAGAGAGCCGACGACCGGCGGCGCCGCGAGUGGCGACGGAGCUGGUUUUUCCGGCAGACACAAACAACCACGGCAACCACCACCACUCGCAAACUGUUCGACACCCUCAAUCCACCAUAUUCUCGCACGCUCUCUCCUAAGUUGGAAGCUGCCAUAACUCGCCCGAGAAGUCCGACGUUCCCAGAGAUACACGGAGAUCGACGGUAGCCGUGUCGAAGUUCCCGAAGACAUACGGAGUUCGCGACGGAGCUCUCGCUUGAUCGUUUCGGUUAAUCGCUCUUGUUUAUUCUCUUGGAAUUCUCCAAUCUUUACUCGUGCGUUAUUUCGAGAAAUCUCCAAACGCAACCACUGUUGAUGAUGAUGAAAUGAAAGAGGUAGCACGAUGCCUAGAUACACACU